UGGGGAAUAUUGCACAAUGGGCGCAAGCCUGAUGCAGCGACGCCGCGUGGGGGAUGACGGCCUUCGGGUUGUAAACUCCUUUCGCUAGGGACGAAGCUUUUUGUGACGGUACCUAGAUAAGAAGCACCGGCUAACUACGUGCCAGCAGCCGCGGUAAUACGUAGGGUGCGAGCGUUGUCCGGAAUUACUGGGCGUAAAGGGCUCGUAGGUGGUUUGUCGCGUCGUCUGUGAAAUUCCGGGGCUUAACUCCGGGCGUGUAGGCGAUACGGGCAUAACUUGAGUACUGUAGGGGUAACUGGAAUACCUGGUGUAGCGGUGAAAUGCGCAGAUAUCAGGAGGAACACCGAUGGCGAAGGCAGGUUACUGGGCAGUUACUGACGCUGAGGAGCGAAAGCAUGGGUAGCGAACAGG
rnacentral:rRNA from 1 species